UCCAACUAACCAUGUAUGUAUGUAUAUACGUGUAUAUAUAUAUAUAAUCAGCUUUGUGACCUGAUUGGGACUGACAUGGUGAAGGUAGCCAAGCAUCUAAAUCCCAAUGGCUCCUAAUACAGAGAUAUACUGUUGGUAAAGUCCCCACAAAGGACGAUCGCUUCAGCAACCAAGUACCAAUCAUCACGUGCACUGCACGUGAAACUCUGCAAAUCCAUUUCACGCCAAAUCAGUUGAGCCCCCCACCCACCCACCCACUUCUUGCCUUUUCACAUGAACUGCAAUGCAAUGUAUGCAUUUAUAUACCCAUAUAUAUCAAAUAUUUUUAUUUACUUAAUCCAACAAAACAAUUAUUUAAUUCCAAUUUCGAAAUUUAAUAAAAUUUCUGUAAUUUUUCCUACGUAUUGAAAUGCAUUGAUGGGAGGUGGAUUUUUGUGAAAAAGUAUAUGAAGUGUCCUUCGUUCGAAACUAAUGAUCCCUCAAUAGGUUGUUAUUGUCCUUGAAUCAAGUCAAUAUUUUAUCCCCUGACUUUGUCCAGAGCGCGAGUCGAAAGCGAGAUUCAUAGAGCAGAAACUCCUUAUCAGAUUAGGCUGUGCAUGAUGUACGAUCACCUACCAAGGAAAUGGUGGCAAUUAUCUAAUUAUAAUUUCGAAAAUUAAUAAAAAUAUUUGUAAUUUUUUACAAAUUGAAAUGCAUUGAUGGGAGGCCGACUCUUUUCGAAAAUUUUUUGAAGUGUUGUUCGUUCAAAGCUAAUAAAUCCAUUGGUAUUAUCCUUGAAUCGAGCUAGAGUUUUAUCUCCUUACCCUGUCGAGAGCUCGAGCCUAAAAUAGGGUUCAUAGAGUGACAACACCUUAUUGGAUCAGGCGGUACAUGAUGCACAAUCACCUAUCAAGAGAAAAUAGGCGUUGUGCAAUUGGUAGGGCUCACCAUUUCCUUGGUAGGUGAUCGUGCAUCAUGUACCGCCUGAUCCAAUACGGUGUUUCUGUUUUAUGAAACCCGCUUUUGAGUCGGGUUUUCGAUAGAGUCGGGAGAUAAAAUUUUGACUCGAUUUAAGGACAAUACCAACCCGUUGGGGGAUUUGUCAGCUUUCAAGAAACCAUGCUUCAAAGGUUUCUUUGGAAAAAAUCAGUCUCCCCUAGACAAAAUGUUUUCCCACUAGUAUGAUUGGGUUGGAUUCCCUUACUUUUCCAUCCUCCAUUAACAUUAUUUAACAGUAGGCGGCCAUGGCCGAAGGCUUAGGUAGUUUGGCAGAGAAAGGGGUAGGGCCAAUGGCAGGGACCAUCAUAAUAAAAGAUGGAAAAUUAGAAGUGUUUAGGGACCCUACAAAGAUGGAGAAUGGGGAGCUAAGGGAUUUGCUGCACUCCUUGCAAGAAGCAGUAUGUGAAACGUUGCUUUCAACCUUUUAUCCAAAAG
rnacentral:lncRNA from 1 species